UAAAGGUAUUCCGGUAGACGAUGGGGAUGCGUUCCAUUAGAUAGUAGGCGGGGUAACGGCCCACCUAGUCUUCGAUGGAUAGGGGUUCUGAGAGGAAGGUCCCCCACAUUGGAACUGAGACACGGUCCAAACUCCUACGGGAGGCAGCAGUGAGGAAUAUUGGUCAAUGGGCGAGAGCCUGAACCAGCCAAGUAGCGUGAAGGAUGACUGCCCUAUGGGUUGUAAACUUCUUUUAUAAAGGAAUAAAGUCGGGUAUGGAUACCCGUUUGCAUGUACUUUAUGAAUAAGGAUCGGCUAACUCCGUGCCAGCAGCCGCGGUAAUACGGAGGAUCCGAGCGUUAUCCGGAUUUAUUGGGUUUAAAGGGAGCGUAGAUGGAUGUUUAAGUCAGUUGUGAAAGUUUGCGGCUCAACCGUAAAAUUGCAGUUGAUACUGGAUAUCUUGAGUGCAGUUGAGGCAGGCGGAAUUCGUGGUGUAGCGGUGAAAUGCUUAGAUAUCACGAAGAACUCCGAUUGCGAAGGCAGCCUGCUAAGCUGCAACUGACAUUGAGGCUCGAAAGUGUGGGUAUCAAACAGGAUUAGAUACCCUGGUAGUCCACACGGUAAACGAUGAAUACUCGCUGUUUGCGAUAUACGGCAAGCG
rnacentral:rRNA from 1 species